AAUCAACGCUGGCGGCGUGCCUCAGACAUGCAAGUCGAACGCGAAAGUCCCCUUCGGGGGACAAGUAGAGUGGCGCACGGGUGAGUAACACGUAGGUAAUCUACCUUCGGGUGGGGAAUAACGCAGGGAAACUUGCGCUAAUACCGCAUAAUGCAGCGGCACCACAUGGUGACAGUUGUUAAAGCGGGGGAUUUUCGGACCUCGCGCCUGAAGAGGAGCCUGCGGCAGAUUAGCUAGUUGGUAAGGUAACGGCUUACCAAGGCGACGAUCUGUAGCCGGCCUGAGAGGGCGGUCGGCCACACUGACACUGACAUACGGGUCAGACUCCUACGGGGGCAGCAGUCGGGAAUUUUGGGCAAUGGGCGAAAGCCUGACCCAGCAACGCCGCGUGAAGGAUGAAAUCCCUCGGGAUGUAAACUUCGCAAGAAUAGGAAGAAUGAACGAGCGCUAACACCGUUCGUGAUGACGGUACUAUUUGUAAGCUCCGGCUAACUCCGUGCCAGCAGCCG
rnacentral:rRNA from 1 species